GACGAACGCUGGCGGCGUGCUUAACACAUGCAAGUCGAACGGAAAGGCCCUGCUUUUGUGGGGUGCUCGAGUGGCGAACGGGUGAGUAACACGUGAGUAACCUGCCCUUGACUUUGGGAUAACUUCAGGAAACUGGGGCUAAUACCGGAUAGGAGCUCCUGCUGCAUGGUGGGGGUUGGAAAGUUUCGGCGGUUGGGGAUGGACUCGCGGCUUAUCAGCUUGUUGGUGGGGUAGUGGCUUACCAAGGCUUUGACGGGUAGCCGGCCUGAGAGGGUGACCGGCCACAUUGGGACUGCGAUACGGCCCAGACUCCUACGGGAGGCAGCAGUGGGGAAUAUUGCACAAUGGGAGGAAGCCUGAUGCAGCAACGCCGCGUGCGGGAUGACGGCCUUCGGGUUGUAAACCGCUUUCGCCUGUGACGAAGCGUGAGUGACGGUAAUGGGUAAAGAAGCACCGGCUAACUACGUG
rnacentral:rRNA from 1 species